UACGUAGGGGGCGAGCGUUGUCCGGAUUUAUUGGGCGUAAAGAGCGUGUAGGCGGCCAGGUAGGUCUGCUGUGAAAACUCGAGGCUCAACCUCGAGACGUCGGCGGAAACCGUCUGGCUAGAGUCCGGAAGAGGAGAAUGGAAUUCCUGGUGUAGCGGUGAAAUGCGCAGAUAUCAGGAGGAACACCGGUGGCGAAGGCGGGUCUCUGGGCCGAUACUGACGCUGAGGAGCGAAAGCGUGGGGAGCGAACAGG
rnacentral:rRNA from 1 species